rnacentral:rRNA from 1 species
UGGGGAAUAUUGGAUAAUGGACCAAAAGUCUGAUCCAGCAAUUCUGUGUGCACGAUGACGUUUUUCGGAAUGUAAAGUGCUUUCAGUUGGGAAGAAAAAAAUGACGGUACCAACAGAAGAAGUGACGGCUAAAUACGUGCCAGCAGCCGCGGUAAUACGUAUGUCACAAGCGUUAUCCGGAUUUAUUGGGCGUAAAGCGCGUCUAGGUGGUUAUGUAAGUCUGAUGUGAAAAUGCAGGGCUCAACUCUGUAUUGCGUUGGAAACUGCAUGACUAGAGUACUGGAGAGGUAAGCGGAGCUACAAGUGUAGAGGUGAAAUUCGUAGAUAUUUGUAGGAAUGCCGAUGGGGAAGCCAGCUUACUGGACAGAUACUGACGCUAAAGCGCGAAAGCGUGGGUAGCAAACAGGAUUAGAUACCCUGGUAGUCCACGCUGUAAACGAUGAUUACUAGGUGUUGGGGGUCGAACCUCAGCGCCCAAGCUAACGCGAUAAGUAAUCCGCCUGGGGAGUACGUACGCAAGUAUG